GGAGGGACCUGUGUCCCUUCAGGAACCUGCAUGGCUGGGAGGGGGGAUGCCCCUGCUGCUGGGCUUCCUGCACCCAGGGGCUCUGCCCCAGGGCUCAGAUUAGAGGGAGUCAGGCCUGGGCCCUGGGCCCUGAGCCCCCUCUGCCUCUGCCUCUUCUUAGGAGAAGGAGGGUGUGUGCCUGGAGGACUCCACCACCCACUGGUACAUCCAGUGCUUCCUGGAUGGGAGCGCCUGCUGAAGAUGCCCCGGGACCACCUCCGGGAGUUCCUGCAGGUGACCCUGAAGCAGGCCUGGUCUCUGAGCGAGGACGCGGUCAUCAGGCAGCUGCGGGCCUCCAUGCGUGAGCUGGGGAAGCUCCAGUGCCUCCUGCCUCCCGAAGCCAAGGCCAUCGAACAGUGCAGCAGGCCCCUGGGGCAGGCACGCGUCCCCCAGAUGCACGUUCCUGCCCCCACUGCUCCGAAGGCCAGAAUCACCAUUCAGGACACAGUGGCAGUGUGGGAGCAGACCAGGGGUCCCGCUACUCGUGCAGUGAUGAUCCGUCCUCCAGGAAGCUUUGGCCUCCGCAUCGCCGAGAGGGAAGGCGUGGAGGAGGAGGAGAGCUGGGAAGGCAGCCCAGAGCCCCUCGGCCUGGGCUCCCCUGUGGGGACCGCAGAGUCUCCAGGUUCUGCCAGCCCCACGGAGUCUCCAAAGUGCUCGAGGUGGGGAGGCCUGUGCCAGUGCGCCAGUCUCCCUAACCUGAGCGGGCCAGAGCACAGGGAGGACGACUCCUCCGACGCUGGCAGCCGGGAGGGCCUGUGGAUGUGGGCUCCUCCACAGGCCUCAGAGCCCCCAGAACCAGGGCCCAUGCAGGCUGUCCCCACCUGGGGGCCACGGCUGAAGACUUCCCCCUACUGGCAUGGCAGCCCCACGCACUCUGGGGACAGUCACGGGCUGGAGCCGGCCAGAGCCAGCCCUGGGCUGGGAGACCAGGCCCGCGUGCCCUCCCUGGCCAGAGGCCUCCUUACCUCUUAUUCAACGGGGCACCUGGAUGAUGGGUGCCUCCUAGAAGAGAGGCCGAGUCCAGCAUCUGUCCUGCCCAGGCUGGGCAGCAGCCUUCCGUGUGUCUUCACGGCAUCCUAUGCACUUGGUUGAGCCCCCACCGCCCAGGCUCUUCCUGGGGCCAGGACACCCUGACACUGGAAGACAACAGCCAUGCCAGGAGCCACUGUACUCUCCUCCCCGCCCCCCUCCCCCACCGCCACCCUCAGGUGGUGCUGAGUCUGUAUUAAAUUGUUCCAUGGAAAGGAGUUUGCUCCAGUUUGUGACCCCGGCGCCCAGCGGCAGCAAGCUUCCCCGUGUUCCUGGGGAGAUGGGCAGCUCCACAGCCCCCAGCCCCAGGCAGAGACCCACUCAGGACCCUGCAGGCAAUGCCUGAGAUUCAGCUGUGCCCUGUGGGAACUGGGUCAGGGUGGGAGAGCAGCAGCUGUGAGUGCCCGUGACCUCUGGGACAGAUCAGCACAAUAGGAACAGCCGUGGUUGGAGGGCCUGUGUCACCUCUGUGCUCUCCCCUAGACCUGGGCGGCUGUGGCUGCAGCAUCCCUGGCUUGACCCCGCAUGUCUCUCACAGGUAUGGGAUACCUGUUGCAGACUGUAUGUUCCAGGACCUCAGGAAGGAAUUAAAUUCCUGUGGUGUAUACACUGUCCCGUUAUCAGGCUUUAUGUCCAGGGGACACCGAGGACCAGCAGGGCUGACUUAACCACCUUUAUCACAUUUCUAGCCUUUUCUCCGGAUUGGGCUGCUGCAAAUACAGCCUUUGAAUACGUAUCUCCCACCACAUGGACAAACUUAAGUUGACCAAAGGAGUUAAUGUGGGUGACGUCCACUUGCCAGAGCUUCUUAGGAGCAAGCCUCACGGGUUCACUCCUGCUUGUAGCAGUGUCCUGACGGGGCGAGGGGGCACAAUUCUUGCAAGAGUGCACUAGGUGUUUGCAUUGGCUCAUUGUUAGCU
rnacentral:lncRNA from 1 species